rnacentral:rRNA from 1 species
CCUACGGGGGGCAGCAGUGAGGAAUAUUGGUCAAUGGCCGUAAGGCUGAACCAGCCAAGUAGCGUGAGGGAAGACUGCCCUAUGGGUUGUAAACCUCUUUUAUGCGGGGACAAAGGUGUCCACGUGUGGAUGUCUGCAGGUACCGCAUGAAAAAGCAUCGGCUAACUCCGUGCCAGCAGCCGCGGUAAUACGGAGGAUGCGAGCGUUAUCCGGAUUUAUUGGGUUUAAAGGGUGCGUAGGCGGAAUGUCAAGUCAGCGGUAAAAUCGCGGGGCUCAACCUCGCUCAGCCGUUGAAACUGGCUUUCUUGAGUGGGCGAGAGGUAUGCGGAAUGCGUGGUGUAGCGGUGAAAUGCAUAGAUAUCACGCAGAACUCCGAUUGCGAAGGCAGCAUACCGGCGCCCAACUGACGCUGAAGCACGAAAGCGUGGGUAUCGAACAGGAUUAGAUACCCGUGUAGUC